rnacentral:rRNA from 1 species
ACACAUGCAAGUCGAGGGGAAACGACAUCGAAAGCUUGCUUUUGAUGGGCGUCGACCGGCGCACGGGUGAGUAACGCGUAUCCAACCUGCCCACCACUUGGGGAUAACCUUGCGAAAGUAAGACUAAUACCCAAUGAUAUCUCUAGAAGACAUCUGAAAGAGAUUAAAGAUUUAUCGGUGAUGGAUGGGGAUGCGUCUGAUUAGCUUGUUGGCGGGGUAACGGCCCACCAAGGCGACGAUCAGUAGGGGUUCUGAGAGGAAGGUCCCCCACAUUGGAACUGAGACACGGUCCAAACUCCUACGGGAGGCAGCAGUGAGGAAUAUUGGUCAAUGGACGAGAGUCUGAACCAGCCAAGUAGCGUGCAGGAAGACGGCCCUAUGGGUUGUAAACUGCUUUUAUAAGGGAAUAAAGUGAGUCUCGUGAGACCUUUUGCAUGUACCUUAUGAAUAAGGACCGGCUAAUUCCGUGCCAGCAGCCGCGGUAAUACGGAAGGUCCGGGCGUUAUCCGGAUUUAUUGGGUUUAAAGGGAGCGUAGGCCGGAGAUUAAGCGUGUUGUGAAAUGUAGACGCUCAACGUCUGCACUGCAGCGCGAACUGGUCUUCUUGAGUACGCACAACGUGGGCGGAAUUCGUGGUGUAGCGGUGAAAUGCUUAGAUAUCACGAAGAACUCCGAUUGCGAAGGCAGCUCACGGG